CCUCGGGAGGCAGCAGUGAGGAAUAUUGGUCAAUGGACGCAAGUCUGAACCAGCCAAGUAGCGUGCAGGAUGACGGCCCUCCGGGUUGUAAACUGCUUUUAGUUGGGAAUAAAAGGGGGCUCGUGAGCCCCGUAUUGUAUGUACCAUCAGAAAAAGGACCGGCUAAUUCCGUGCCAGCAGCCGCGGUAAUACGGAAGGUCCGGGCGUUAUCCGGAUUUAUUGGGUUUAAAGGGAGCGUAGGCCGGCUUUUAAGUCAGCUGUGAAAGUCCGCGGCUCAACCGUGGAAUUGCAGUUGAAACUGUUUUUCUUGAGUGCUGGAGAGGCAAUCGGAAUUCCGGGUGUAGCGGUGAAAUGCGUAGAUAUACGGAGGAACACCAGUGGCGAAGGCGGAUUGCUGGACAGUAACUGACGCUGAGGCGCGAAAGCGUGGGGAGCAAACAGGAUUAGAUACCCCAGUAGUC
rnacentral:rRNA from 1 species